UGGGGAAUAUUGGACAAUGGGCGCAAGCCUGAUCCAGCCAUGCCGCGUGAGGGAUGAAGGCCCUAGGGUUGUAAAGCUCUUUCACCGGUGAAGAUAAUGACGGUAACCGGAGAAGAAGCCCCGGCUAACUUCGUGCCAGCAGCCGCGGUAAUACGAAGGGGGCUAGCGUUGUUCGGAUUUACUGGGCGUAAAGCGCACGUAGGCGGACUUUUAAGUCAGGGGUGAAAUCCCGGGGCUCAACCCCGGAACUGCCUUUGAUACUGGAAGUCUUGAGUAUGGUAGAGGUGAGUGGAAUUCCGAGUGUAGAGGUGAAAUUCGUAGAUAUUCGGAGGAACACCAGUGGCGAAGGCGGCUCACUGGACCAUUACUGACGCUGAGGUGCGAAAGCGUGGGGAUCAAACAGG
rnacentral:rRNA from 1 species